UACACUAGCUCCUUUCUCUAUCUAAUCUUUUUUAGGUUCCAAUGGAGAGUGAGACAGCUUCUUUAUAAUUUCUUACGCUCUUUAUAUUGUGCUUUUAAUCAUGCGACGAAUGAAUAUUAGCAUGAAAUGCGGUAAUUGGUGUAUGGAGUGGAAUUUAUUUGCGAAGAGCUUUAAAUAAACGCAGGAAACAUCAAUUUGUAUUGCGUCACAAUAAGUAAAAAAAAAAAAAAAAAAAAAAAAAAAA